CCUACGGGAGGCAGCAGUGAGGAAUUUCGUGCAAUGGGGGAAACCGGGAAAUAGUGACCACGGGGGGAUGACGAAAUCUUUCCAUUCGUAAAAUCCUGUCAGAGCGGAAGAAUUGUAAAACUCUUUAUCCAGAUUAGAUAGACGGUACCAUCAAAGGAAGCCCCGGUAACUUCGUCCAGCAGCCGCCUAAUUGGAGGUCAAGCGUUUUUGAAAAUUGGGGUAAAAGCUGUAGGGGGAGUUAAGUCAGAUGGAAAGUCCCAGCUUACCCGGGAUGCAUUUGAUAAAGGCAGAGUUGAGUAUUGGAGAGAGGGGAGGAAUUUUCCGUGUAGAGGGGAAAAUUUUAGAUAUCUGGAGGAAUACCGCUGGCGAAGGCGACCCCCUGGCCAGAUAUUGACGCUGAGGUGUGAAAGAGUGGGGAGCGCACACGAUUAGAUACCCUGGUAGUGUCAC
rnacentral:rRNA from 1 species